rnacentral:miRNA from 1 species
CCAGUAUCAGUUGUGCUGCUAA